GAUGAACGCUAGCUACAGGCUUAACACAUGCAAGUCGAGGGGCAGCAUGACGAUAGCUUGCUAUUGUCGAUGGCGACCGGCGCACGGGUGAGUAACGCGUAUCCAACCUGCCCUUGUCCACCGGAUAACCCGUCGAAAGGCGGACUAACACGGUAUGCAGUCCACAGCAGACAUCUAACGUGGACGAAAUGUGAAGGAGAAGGAUGGGGAUGCGUCUGAUUAGCUUGUUGGCGGGGUAACGGCCCACCAAGGCGACGAUCAGUAGGGGUUCUGAGCGGAAGGGCCCCCACCUUGGAACUGAGACACGGUCCAAACGCCUACGGGAGGCAGCAGUGAGGAAUAUUGGUCAAUGGGCGGGAGCCUGAACCGGCAAAGUGGCGUGCAGGAAGACGGCCCUAUGGGUUGUAAACUGCUUUUAUACGGGGAUAAAGUGAGUCACGUGUGGCUUAUUGCAGGUACCGUAUGAAUAAGGACCGGCUAAUUCCGUGCCAGCCGCCGCCGUAA
rnacentral:rRNA from 1 species